CGCGGUAUCCUGACCGUGCAAAGGUAGCGUAAUCACCUGUCUUUUAAAUAAAGACCUGUAUGAAUGGCAAGACGAGGGUUUUACUGUCUCCCCCCUCUAGUCAAUGAAAUUGAUCUACCCGUGCAGAAGCGGGCAUAAAUACAUAAGACGAGAAGACCCUAUGGAGCUUUAGGUAACAAAUCAAAUAUGUAAAAACCCAAUAACCUUCUAAAGACAAAAAAAUGAAUAUAAACAAGUAUUAAUGAUUUUAAUACCUUCGGUUGGGGCGACCAUGGGGAAAAACAAAACCCCCACACGGAAUUGGAAAAUAUUUCCAUAAACUAAGAAAAACAAUUCUAAGUAACAAAAUAUUUGACCAAACGACCCGGAAUAUUAUACUAUCCCGAUCAAUGAACCAAGUUACCCUAGGGAUAACAGCGCAAUCCUUUCCCAGAGCCCAUAUCUACGAAAGGGUUUACGACCUCGAUGUUGGAUCAGGACAUCCUAAUGGUGCAGCCGCUAUUAAGGGUUCGUUUGUUCAACGAUUAAGUCCU
rnacentral:rRNA from 1 species